GACGAACGCUGGCGGCGUGCUUAACACAUGCAAGUCGAGCGGUAAGGCCCUUUCGGGGGUACACGAGCGGCGAACGGGUGAGUAACACGUGGGUGACCUGCCCUCAGCUCUGGGAUAAGCCUGGGAAACCGGGUCUAAUACCGGAUAUGACUCCAUGACGCAUGUUGUGGGGUGGAAAGCCUUGUGCGGCUGAGGAUGGGCCCGCGGCCUAUCAGCUUGUUGGUGGGGUGAUGGCCUACCAAGGCGACGACGGGUAGCCGGCCUGAGAGGGCGACCGGCCACACUGGGACUGAGACACGGCCCAGACUCCUACGGGAGGCAGCAGUGGGGAAUCUUACGCAAUGGGCGAAAGCCUGACGCAGCGACGCCGCGUGAGGGAUGACGGCCU
rnacentral:rRNA from 1 species